AUUGAACGCUGGCGGCAGGCCUAACACAUGCAAGUCGAGCGAGCGGCGGACGGGUGAGUAAUGUCUGGGAAACUGCCUGAUGGAGGGGGAUAACUACUGGAAACGGUAGCUAAUACCGCAUACCAUCGGAUGUGCCCAGAUGGGAUUAGCUAGGAGGUGGGGUAACGGCUCACCUAGGCGACGAUCCCUCGCUGGGCUGAGAGGAUGACCAGCCACACUGGAACUGGGCCACGGUCCGUACUCCUAGGGGAGGCAGCAGGGGGGAAUGUUGGACAAUGGGCGCAAGCCUGAUGCGGCCAUGCCGGGUGGAUGAAGAAGGCCUUCGGGUUGUAAGGUACGUUCAGCGGGGAGGCGGUACCCGCAGAAGAAGCACCGGCUAACUCCGUGCCAGCAGCCGCGGUAAUUC
rnacentral:rRNA from 1 species